ACAAUAGAAAUGUUGGGGGGUAGUGGGAAUUUCUCAGAAAGAAAAAUCCAUUUACCUCCCCCUGGCCUUCCUCUCCCAUCCCAUUCCUCCUCAUGUAGUGUGAUUUGGAGAGUAGCUUGACUUUAAUUGUCUGCAUCUCAUUUGACUCAAGUUUCAGAGGGACACCCUUGUUCAGAGUCUGACUCUGUCCGAAAACAUACCGGCUGGGAGUCACACAAAACUGAGUUGGACCACAAUGCCUCCCUCAGCUGAGUGACCUUGGUGUGUGCCAUUUUGAGCUUCGGUGCUCCUCACUUGUAAAACGGAAAUAAUUUAACCCACAAUGGUGGGAAUGCAAAACAGGAUAAUAUACAUAACAUUCUUAAGCAUACUGUUCAAUAAGUAAACGGGCUUUCGACCUGAAGUUCCAACUCUUCACAUUCACUGUGGAUAGCAAAGAGUGUUCUCUCUUUUUAAGAUAGCCUUGGCCUCUCCUCUUAAUGUAUUCCCCUUUCCUUCUGUACCAGGCCUAGUGAUAAUUGCCUGUCCUGCCUCUGUUCACAGGCAGCGAGCCUCAGUGCUUUGAACGCCUCCUGCUCCAUCACAGUGACUGCUCAAGGCAGGACACCUGAUCCCAUCGGAAUCCACCCACGGGUGAGUCUGGGACAAUUCGAUUCUCUCUUUCAUAAAUCAAAGAAUGAAAGGCACACAGGAGGAAGGAUCAGUUAGGGGCAGUCAUGGGAGGUGAGAAGCCUUAGGAGGAUGGAAUAUUGGAAGAAGGAUAAGAGGAACAAAUAGCAGCAGGCGAGGAGGAUGGAAUCAAGAGACAAUGGCCCUGGAUCACAAAGGCUUUUGGUUCUCCCGUUCCAGGGACCCAUGACAUCUUCCCCAUUUUCCCAUGACAUUCCUGGUACCUUUUCAACCACGCCUCUAUUCCCUUGAACUAGUUGGAGGGGGUUUCUGUUCCUUGCAACCCAAAGAGCCUUUAUGAGAACACCGCCAUGGAUUUUCUGAUUGUGAGUGCUGCUUGGCUGUCACAGAAGUCCUCUUCUUCUCUCACCUCGAAGGGUUUGGGCAUUCUGUGUCUUCAUGGAAUGUCAACUCUGCAAGGUGCUGCACGACAGGAGUUCAUUCUUCCAUCGGUUUUCAAGCUAGACAAC
rnacentral:lncRNA from 1 species